UGAGGAAUAUUGGUCAAUGGGCGAGAGCCUGAACCAGCCAAGUAGCGUGCAGGAUGAGGGCCCUAUGGGUUGUAAACUGCUUUUAUGUGGGGAUAAAGUGCGUGACGUGUCAUGCAUUGCAGGUACCACAUGAAUAAGGACCGGCUAAUUCCGUGCCAGCAGCCGCGGUAAUACGGAAGGUCCGGGCGUUAUCCGGAUUUAUUGGGUUUAAAGGGAGCGUAGGCUGUCUAUUAAGCGUGUUGUGAAAUUUACCGGCUCAACCGGUGGCUUGCAGCGCGAACUGGUCGACUUGAGUAUGCAGGAAGUAGGCGGAAUUCAUGGUGUAGCGGUGAAAUGCUUAGAUAUCAUGACGAACUCCGAUUGCGCAGGCAGCUUACUGUAGCAUAACUGACGCUGAUGCUCGAAAGUGCGGGUAUCAAACAGG
rnacentral:rRNA from 1 species